CCUACGGGAGGCUGCAGUGGGGAAUAUUGCACAAUGGGGGAAACCCUGAUGCAGCGACGCCGCGUGAGUGAAGAAGUAUUUCGGUAUGUAAAGCUCUAUCAGCAGGGAAGAAAAUGACGGUACCUGAUUAAGAAGCCCCGGCUAACUACGUGCCAGCAGCCGCGGUAAUACGUAGGGGGCAAGCGUUAUCCGGAUUUACUGGGUGUAAAGGGGGGGUAGACGGCAGCACAAGUCUGGAGGGAAAUGCCGGGGCUUAACCCCGGAACUGCUUUGGAAACUGUGCAGCUAGAGUGCAGGAGAGGUAAGUGGAAUUCCUAGUGUAGCGGUGAAAUGCGUAGAUAUUAGGAGGAACACCAGUGGCGAAGGCGGCUUACUGGACUGUAACUGACGUUGAGGCUCGAAAGCGUGGGGAGCAAACAGGAUUAGAUACCCGAGUAGUC
rnacentral:rRNA from 1 species